AGCGAACGCUGGCGGCAGGCCUAACACAUGCAAGUCGAACGAAGUCUUCGGACUUAGUGGCGGACGGGUGAGUAACACGUGGGAACGUGCCUUUAGGUUCGGAAUAACUCAGGGAAACUUGUGCUAAUACCGAAUGUGCCCUUCGGGGGAAAGAUUUAUCGCCUUUAGAGCGGCCCGCGUCUGAUUAGCUAGUUGGUGAGGUAAAGGCUCACCAAGGCUACGAUCAGUAGCUGGUCUGAGAGGAUGACCAGCCACAUUGGGACUGAGACCAGGGCCUAACUCAUACGAGAGGCAGCAGUGGGGAAUCUUGCGCAAUGGGCGAAAGCCUGACGCAGCCAUGCCGCGUGGAUGAUGAAGGUCUUAGGAUUGUAAAAUCCUUUCACCGGUGAAGAUAAUGACCGUAGCCGGAGAAGAAGCCCCGGCUAACUUCGUGCCAGCCGCCGCGUUAAAAC
rnacentral:rRNA from 1 species